rnacentral:rRNA from 1 species
UUAACACAUGCAAGUCGAACGGUAACAUUGGAGCUUGCUCCAGAUGACGAGUGGCGGACGGGUGAGUAAUGCAUAGGAAAUUGCCGAUUAGUGGGGGACAACAUGUGGAAACGCAUGCUAAUACCGCAUACGCCCUACGGGGGAAAGGUGGCCAAUCCUUGGAAGCUACCGCUAAUUGAUGUGCCUAUGUCUGAUUAGCUAGUUGGUGGGGUAAUGGCCCACCAAGGCGACGAUCAGUAGCUGGUCUGAGAGGAUGAUCAGCCACACUGGGACUGAGACACGGCCCAGACUCCUACGGGAGGCAGCAGUGGGGAAUAUUGGACAAUGGGGGCAACCCUGAUCCAGCAAUACCGCGUGUGUGAAGAAGGCUCGAGGGUCGUAAAGCACUUUCAAUAGUGAAGAUUGGAAUACAGGUUAAUACCCUGUGUUUUUGACGUUAACUAUACAAGAAGCACCGGCUAACUCAGUGCCAGCAGCCGCGGUAAUACUGAGGGUGCAAGCGUUAAUCGGAAUUACUGGGCGUAAAGCGCGCGUAGGCGGUAAGUUAAGUUGGAUGUGAAAUCCCUGGGCUCAACCUAGGAACUGCAUUCAAAACUGGCUCACUAGAGUAUGGUAGAGGUAAGUGGAAUUCCAGGUGUAGCGGUGAAAUGCGUAGAUAUCUGGAGGAACAUCAGUGGCGAAGGCGACUUACUGGGCCAAUACUGACGCUGAGGUGCGAAAGCAUGGGUAGCAAACGGGAUUAGAUACCCCGGUAGUCCAUGCCGUAAACGAUGUCAACUAGCCGUUGGGCCCGUUAGGGUUUAGUGGCGCAGCUAACGCAUUAAGUUGACCGCCUGGGGA